GCCCCGCCCCGCCGUGUCCCCGCCCGCAGGGCUGACCACGCCCCCGGUGGCGGCCCCGCCCUCCGCGUUCUCUUGGCUCAUUUCCGGCCGCCGCCGCCACCGCCGCUUCCCUCCGAGGGCUCGGGAGAGCGAAGGAACAACAGCCGCCAUUUUGUUUGUGUCUCCCCUUUCUGCAGCCAUUAGCGACGGGCGAGGAAGAAGCGAGUGGAGCUGGGGACCCCGCGCACGCUGUGCCACUCCCCCCGCCGCCUCCCCCCCAGCCCUGUCGCUGGCGGUGGGUAUUUUUUCGCAGGGUGGUGUUGGAGGGGGAAGGAGCCGCUGCUAGAGGACGGUGAUCUUUUUUUCUUUUUUCCUCCUCCUCUCCCCUCCUUCGCCCGCCUCCUUGUGGCGAUGAGGAGGAGGAGGACGGCGCCGAGGAGGAAGAGGCUGAUGGCGGCGGUGAGGAGGCAGCAGGAGGAGGAGACCCCACGAAGGAUGAAGAUGAUGAUGGUGGCGGCGGCGAGGAAGCACCAGCACAACAGCCGGGAUUAAUUUUACUAAAAAAAAAAAAAAAAAAAAAUUC